UCAUUAUCAACCCUCAAGCCUGGCUUGUUGUUGGACCGUCGUCGUUAAAGGACGGGUCCCAAAGACAAUGACGGAGUCUGUCGGACCCUAGAUGCAACGAGCUCCCGUAGCACGCAUCGAAAGGCCGGCCGCUCUUGUCUCCCCCACAUUAUUUUAUCAAGGUUGACCUCGGAUCAGGUAGGAAUACCCGCUGAACUUAA
rnacentral:misc_RNA from 1 species